UACGUAGGGGGCAAGCGUUGUCCGGAAUCAUUGGGCGUAAAGCGCGUGUAGGCGGCUUCGUAAGUCCGUUGUGAAAGUCCAGGGCUCAACCCUGGAAUGCCGAUGGAUACUGCGGAGCUAGAGUCCGGAAGAGGCGAGUGGAAUUCCUGGUGUAGCGGUGAAAUGCGCAGAUAUCAGGAAGAACACCCGUGGCGAAGGCGGCUCUCUGGGACGGUACUGACGCUGAGACGCGAAAGCGUGGGGAGCGAACAGG
rnacentral:rRNA from 1 species